rnacentral:rRNA from 1 species
CCUACGGGAGGCAGCAGUGGGGAAUCUUGCGCAAUGGGCGAAAGCCUGACGCAGCAACGCCGCGUGCGGGAAGAAGGCUUUCGGGCUGUAAACCGCUUUCAGCAGGAACGAAAAUGACGGUACCUGCAGAAGAAGGAGCGGCCAACUAUGUGCCAGCAGCCGCGGUGAUACAUAGGCUUCAAGCGUUGUCCGGAUUUAUUGGGCGUAAAGAGUUCGUAGGCGGUCGAGUAAGUCGGGUGUGAAAAUUCUGGGCUCAACCCAGAGACGCCACCCGAUACUGCUUGACUUGAGUUCGAUAGGGGAGUGGGGAAUUCCUAGUGUAGCGGUGAAAUGCGCGGAUAUUAGGAGGAACACCGGUGGCGAAGGCGCCACUCUGGAUCGAUACUGACGCUGAGGAACGAAAGCAUGGGUAGCAAACAGGAUUAGAUACCCUGGUAGUCCAUGCCGUAAACGGUGGGCACUAGGUGUGGGUUUCUAUUAACGAAAUCCGCGCCGUCGCUAACGCAUUAAGUGCCCCGCCUGGGGGAGGUACGGUCGCGAGAACGUAAACGUACGAAAGAAGUAGUAAGGUACGUGUUAGAGUAGUUCGACGACGACGACGACGGAGGAGGAG